UACGUAGGGGGCAAGCGUUUGUCCGGAUUUAUUGGGCGUAAAGCGCGUGUAGGCGGCCAGAAAAGUCCGCUGUGAAAACUCGGGGCUCAACUCCGAGCCUGCGUUCGAUACUGGAUGGCUAGAGUCGUGGUAGGGGGAUCUGGAAUUCCUGGUGUAGCGGUGAAAUGCGUAGAUACCAGGAGGAACACCGGUGGCGAAGGCGGCGACCUGGGCCAAUACUGACGCUGAGGUGCGAAAGCGUGGGGAGCAAGCAGG
rnacentral:rRNA from 1 species